rnacentral:rRNA from 1 species
CUUGGGCGAGAGUAGUACUAGGAUGGGUGACCUCCUGGGAAGUCCUCGUGUUGCACUCC